rnacentral:lncRNA from 1 species
CCGCCUCCUCCUCCUCCUCCUCCCCCUCGCUCUCCUCCGAGUCGUACGCCCUCGGGCCCCUCGGGGGCGGCGGCGCCGCCGCGUCCGGGCGCUCGAUCAGCGACCGGAACUCGUCCUCGAGGCGGAGGACGCACCGCUGGAGGAGCUCGUCGGCGCUGGCGAGGAGCUGCUUGUUCGCGGCCGGGUGCGCGUCGAGGUCGCGGAUCGUGUCGAGGAGGUCGUCCACCGCCUCGAGGAACUUGUCGGCGUCGUCGGAGUCGGACC